AUAUGAACCGUUAUAACCGGCGAUUUCCGAAUGGGGAAACCCAGUGUGAUUCGUCACACUAUCAUUAACUGAAUCCAUAGGUUAAUGAGGCGAACCGGGGGAACUGAAACAUCUAAGUACCCCGAGGAAAAGAAAUCAACCGAGAUUCCCCCAGUAGCGGCGAGCGAACGGGGAGGAGCCCAGAGCCUGAAUCAGUGUGUGUGUUAGUGGAAGCGUCUGGAAAGGCGCGCGAUACAGGGUGACAGCCCCGUACACAAAAAUGCACAUGCUGUGAGCUCGAUGAGUAGGGCGGGACACGUGGUAUCCUGUCUGAAUAUGGGGGGACCAUCCUCCAAGGCUAAAUACUCCUGACUGACCGAUAGUGAACCAGUACCGUGAGGGAAAGGCGAAAAGAACCCCGGCGAGGGGAGUGAAAAAGAACCUGAAACCGUGUACGUACAAGCAGUGGGAGCCUCUUUAUGGGGUGACUGCGUACCUUUUGUAUAAUGGGUCAGCGACUUAUAUUCUGUAGCAAGGUUAACCGAAUAGGGGAGCCGAAGGGAAACCGAGUCUUAACUGGGCGUUAAGUUGCAGGGUAUAGACCCGAAACCCGGUGAUCUAGCCAUGGGCAGGUUGAAGGUUGGGUAACACUAACUGGAGGACCGAACCGACUAAUGUUGAAAAAUUAGCGGAUGACUUGUGGCUGGGGGUGAAAGGCCAAUCAAACCGGGAGAUAGCUGGUUCUCCCCGAAAGCUAUUUAGGUAGCGCCUCGUGAAUUCAUCUCCGGGGGUAGAGCACUGUUUCGGCAAGGGGGUCAUCCCGACUUACCAACCCGAUGCAAACUGCGAAUACCGGAGAAUGUUAUCACGGGAGACACACGGCGGGUGCUAACGUCCGUCGUGAAGAGGGAAACAACCCAGACCGCCAGCUAAGGUCCCAAAGUCAUGGUUAAGUGGGAAACGAUGUGGGAAGGCCCAGACAGCCAGGAUGUUGGCUUAGAAGCAGCCAUCAUUUAAAGAAAGCGUAAUAGCUCACUGGUCGAGUCGGCCUGCGCGGAAGAUGUAACGGGGCUAAACCAUG
rnacentral:rRNA from 1 species